UGGGGAAUUUUGGACAAUGGGCGCAAGCCUGAUCCAGCCAUGCCGCGUGCGGGAAGAAGGCCUUCGGGUUGUAAACCGCUUUUGUCAGGGAAGAAAUCUUCUGAGUUAAUACCUCGGGAGGAUGACGGUACCUGAAGAAUAAGCACCGGCUAACUACGUGCCAGCAGCCGCGGUAAUACGUAGGGUGCAAGCGUUAAUCGGAAUUACUGGGCGUAAACGUGCGCAGGCGGUUUUGUAAGACAGAGGUGAAAUCCCCGGGCUCAACCUGGGAACUGCCUUUGUGACUGCAAGGCUUGAGUGCGGCAGAGGGGGGAAUGGGAUUCCGCGUGUAGCAGUGAAAUGCGUAGAUAUGCGGAGGAACACCGAUGGCGAGGGCAAUCCCCUGGGCCUGCACUGACGCUCAUGCACGAAAAGCGUGGGGGAGCAAAACAGGAUUUAGAUACCCCUGGGUAGUCCACGCCCUAAAACGAUGUCAAACUGGUUGUUGGGAAGGUUCCUUCUCAGUAACGUAGCUAACGUGUGAAA
rnacentral:rRNA from 1 species